UUUUCUUUAGCUUAAAUAUAAAGCGUUAGUUUGAAGCACUGAAGUUAACAUUAUGUUAGGAGGGA
rnacentral:tRNA from 1 species